GUGGGGAAUAUUGCACAAUGGGGGAAACCCUGAUGCAGCGACGCCGCGUGAAGGAAGAAGUAUCUCGGUAUGUAAACUUCUAUCAGCAGGGAAGAAUUAGGACGGUACCUGACUAAGAAGCCCCGGCUAACUACGUGCCAGCAGCCGCGGUAAUACGUAGGGGGCAAGCGUUAUCCGGAUUUACUGGGUGUAAAGGGAGCGUAGACGGAUGGACAAGUCUGAUGUGAAAGGCUGGGGCUCAACCCCGGGACUGCAUUGGAAACUGCCCGUCUUGAGUGCCGGAGAGGUAAGCGGAAUUCCUAGUGUAGCGGUGAAAUGCGUAGAUAUUAGGAGGAACACCAGUGGCGAAGGCGGCUUACUGGACGGUAACUGACGUUGAGGCUCGAAAGCGUGGGGAGCAAACAGGAUUAGAAACCCUAGUAGUCC
rnacentral:rRNA from 1 species